UACAGAGGUCCCAAGCGUUGUUCGGAUUCACUGGGCGUAAAGGGUGCGUAGGUGGCGGGGUAAGUUUGAUGUGAAAUCCCCAGGCUUAACCUGGGAACUGCAUCCGAUACUGGAUGGCUUGAAUUCGGGAGAGGGAUGCAGAAUUCCAGGUGUAGCGGUGAAAUGCGUAGAUAUCUGGAGGAACACCGGUGGCGAAGGCGCACAUCUGGCCCAAUACUGACGCUGAGGCGCGAAAAGCUAGGGGAGCAAACGGGG
rnacentral:rRNA from 1 species